rnacentral:rRNA from 1 species
AUUGAACGCUGGCGGCAGGCCUAACACAUGCAAGUCGAGCGGCAGCGGGAAAGUAGCUUGCUACUUUUGCCGGCGAGCGGCGGACGGGUGAGUAAUGCCUGGGGAUCUGCCCAGUCGAGGGGGAUAACUACUGGAAACGGUAGCUAAUACCGCAUACGCCCUACGGGGGAAAGCAGGGGACCUUCGGGCCUUGCGCGAUUGGAUGAACCCAGGUGGGAUUAGCUAGUUGGUGAGGUAAUGGCUCACCAAGGCGACGAUCCCUAGCUGGUCUGAGAGGAUGACCAGCCACACUGGAACUGAGACACGGUCCAGACUCCUACGGGAGGCAGCAGUGGGGAAUAUUGCACAAUGGGGGAAACCCUGAUGCAGCCAUGCCGCGUGUGUGAAGAAGGCCUUCGGGUUGUAAGGCACUUUCAGCGAGGAGGAAAGGUUGGUAGCUAAUAACUGCCAGCUGUGACGUUGCUCGCAGAAGAAGCACCGGCUAACUCCGUGCCAGCCGCCGCCGUAAUAC